rnacentral:rRNA from 1 species
UUGCGCCUACGGGGGGCAGCAGUGAGGAAUAUUGGUCAAUGGCCGAGAGGCUGAACCAGCCAAGUCGCGUGAGGGAUGACGGCCCUACGGGUUGUAAACCUCUUUUGUCGGGGAGCAAAGAGAGUCACGUGUGGCUCAUUGAGAGUACCCGAAGAAAAAGCAUCGGCUAACUCCGUGCCAGCAGCCGCGGGAAUACGGAGGAUGCGAGCGUUAUCCGGAUUUAUUGGGUUUAAAGGGUGCGCAGGCGGAGGUGCAAGUCAGUGGUCAAAUUGCGGGGCUCAACCCCGUACUGCCGUUGAGACUGG